rnacentral:rRNA from 1 species
AUUGAACGCUGGCGGCAGGCCUAACACAUGCAAGUCGAGCGGCGGCGGGAAGUAGCUUGCUACUUUGCCGGCGAGCGGCGGACGGGUGAGUAAUGUCUGGGAAACUGCCUGAUGGAGGGGGAUAACUACUGGAAACGGUAGCUAAUACCGCAUAAUGUCGCAAGACCAAAGAGGGGGACCUUCGGGCCUCUUGCCAUCAGAUGUGCCCAGAUGGGAUUAGCUAGUAGGGGGGGUAACGGCUCACCUAGGCGACGAUCCCUAGCUGGUCUGAGGGGAUGACCAGCCACACUGGAACUGAGACACGGUCCAGACUCCUACGGGAGGCAGCAGUGGGGAAUAUUGCACAAUGGGCGCAAGCCUGAUGCAGCCAUGCCGCGUGUAUGAAGAAGGCCUUCGGGUUGUAAAGUACUUUCAGCGGGGAGGAAGGUGUUGAGGUUAAUAACCUCAGCAAUUGACGUUACCCGCAGAAGAAGCACCGGCUAACUCCGUGCCAGCCGCCGCAGUAAGAC